UGAGUGCGAGCUGCUACGGCAGCGAAGUUGGUGAUGUCAUGCUUCCAAGAAAAGCCCUAUACCCGUUAAGGCAUCAUGGCCUGUACCCGAAACCGACACAGGUGGGGUGGUAGAGAAUACCGAGGGGCGCGAGGUAACUCUCUCUAAGGAACUCGGCAAAAUGGCCCCGUAACUUCGGGAGAAGGGGUGCCACCGCAAGGUGGUCGCAGUGAAGAGUCCCAGGCGACUGUUUACCAAAAACACAGGUCUCCGCUAAGUCGCAAGACGAUGUAUGGGGGCUGACGCCUGCCCAGUGCCGGAAGGUUAAGGAAGCUGGUCAGCGCAAGCGAAGCUAGCGACUGAAGCCCCGGUGAACGGCGGCCGUAACUAUAACGGUCCUAAGGUAGCGAAAUUCCUUGUCGGGUAAGUUCCGACCCGCACGAAAGGCGUAACGAUCUGGGCGCUGUCUCGGAGAGAGGCUCGGCGAAAUAGAAUUGUCUGUGAAGAUGCGGACUACGUGCACCCGGACAGAAAGACCCUAUGAAGCUUUACUGUAGCUUGGUAUUGUGCCCGGGCUCGCAAUGCGCAGGAUAGGUGGGAGGCUUCGAUCAUCGGCUUGCGGGUCGAUGUGAGCCAACGGUGAGAUACCACUCUUUGCGAGCUAGGGUUCUAACGGCCACCCGUCAUCCGGGGGCCGGACAGUACCUGGUGGGCAGUUUGACUGGGGCGGUCGCCUCCUAAAAGGUAACGGAGGCGCGCAAAGGUUUGCUCAGGCUGGUUGGAAAUCAGCCGACGAGUGUAAAAGCAGAAGCAAGCUUGACUGUGAGACCAACAAGUCGAACAGGGAGGAAACUCGGCUUUAGUGAUCCGACGGUUCUGAGUGGAAGGGCCGUCGCUCAACGGAUAAAAGUUACUCUAAGGAUAACAGGCUGAUCUCCCCCAAGAGUUCACAUCGACGGGGAGGUUUGGCACCUCGAUGUCGGCUCAUCGCAACCUGGGGCUGAAGUCGGUCCCAAGGGUUGGGCUGUUCGCCCAUUAAAGCGGUACGCGAGCUGGGUUCAGAACGUCGUGAGACAGUUCGGUCCAUAUCCGGUGCACGCGCAGGAAUAUUGAGAGGAUUUCUCCCUAGUACGAGAGGACCGGGAGGAACGCACCUCUGAUGUACCAGUUAUCGUGCCAACGGUAAACGCUGGGUAGCCAUGUGCGGAGUGGAUAACCGCUGAAAGCAUCUAAGUGGGAAGCCCACCUCAAGAUGAGUAUUCCCAUGGCGUAAGCCAGUAAGGUCACGGGAAGAACACCCGUUGAUAGGCUCUAUGUGGAAGCGCAGUAAUGCGUGAAGCAGAGGAGUACUAAUAGACCGAGGGCUUGA
rnacentral:rRNA from 1 species